rnacentral:snoRNA from 2 species
GCCCUGCUCAGAAUAGCACCUGGAGAUUUUCCAGUACUCUACCAGUCUCGGUUACGGGAGGGAGAGUCAAGCAGAGGCCUAUCCAUUCCAUUCCUAGCUUGGGCAGUGGCUAGUGAGUGGAAGGCAAUCUGUUCCAAGU